rnacentral:sRNA from 1 species
AUCCUUCGAGGAGGGGGCCGGCAGGUGUGGUUGCAAGCUGGACUAGCAGCCCAGCGGGGCGAGACGGGGGAGUAGGAAUUGCGGGGGCCUGGUAUUUCCCCAGAGCCUCCUCCCAGGCCAGGGAGAUGCCACAGUGCCCGACUUUGGAAAGCCGGGAAGGGGCAAACUCCGAAGAGAAGGGGGACAGUUCCAAAGACGAUCCAAAAGAAACCGUCGCGCUGGCUUUUGUGAGAGAGAACCCAGGGGCACAAAACGGACUUCAGAAUGCCCAGCAGCAAGGCAAGAAGAAGAGGAAGAAAAAGAGGUUAGGAUUGAAAGCUGGGGAAUGGGGAGCCAUGUUGGUGAGAACAGGAAGGACUUGGAGGGAAGGGGGUCUUGGCUGAUGAUGAGAGAGUAAAGGAGAAACUGUGUGCUGAGACUGUCAACAUCUCACCACUUUUGGUUCAUAUAAAAAGAAUCUACUUUCGAUGAUCUGUUUUAUAGAAUCAAAUGAUUGUGUGUGUAAUCUAAAAAACCAUGCCUUGUCCUAAUUUUCAUUCUAUUUGUGUUUAGGAUGCCUUUAAAAAAUAGCAGGAAAAGAAGAUUUCCUUGUUUUAAGAAGGCGCUGAUUUGUCCUGGAAAUUUAGUACGCCUUCAGUAUGAUAGCACCAUACUGACUUAUCAGGAUCCAACUGCAGCUUGUGCAUUCCGGUUCUUGUUUAAUAUUUCACCAUGCCUUGCUCCAUUCAGACUGAUUGAUGAAGGAAAGCUUGUCCACUUUCUUAUUCAUAGCUUCCCUUAAUGGGGGGAAGAGGAAGGAGACAAGUAUUUUGGCCAAAAAUAUUUUCAAUUCCUGUCCCUGAUGAGCCAGUGGAGUAAAAGGCUUGAGGCAAUGAUGUUAGUGAGAAGCUGCAAGCAAGAUCAGCUGUAAUUGCAAUACAGAAUUUCUACCUUCUGGGUAGAGUAAUAGUACCCUGAUGCCAUGUUUUCCACCAUGCUGUACCCCCUUGGACUCGUGUCCUCAGCAACAGGGACGGUCAAACCAGGCUUAGCAUGGCAGGCUAGAUUUCAGACAGCUCCACCUGGGACAGGAUGUUUCUGGGUACAGUCACUUGUUCUGGCAAGUGUGUCUCUGUCUUGCUGCUUUCCUUUUUCUCUUUUCCAGAUGAUUGGUGAUCAAUCUAUCCAGCUGCCGGUAUGAGAGUGUGCGCAGGGCUGCCCAACAGUACGGCUUUAGAGAGGGAGGGGAAGAUGAUGGCUGGACUCUCUAUUGGACAGAUUACUCAGUGUCACUGGAGCGGGUGAUGGAAAUGAAAAGUUACCAGAAGAUCAAUCACUUCCCCGGGAUGAGUGAAAUCUGCCGGAAGGACUUGCUGGCCAGGAACAUGAGCCGCAUGUUAAAGAUGUUCCCUAAAGAUUUCCGCUUUUUCCCUAGGACCUGGUGUCUUCCUGCUGAGUGUCACAGACGAAACACUGAAGCCCAGCAUGGGGUGAGAGACUGACGGAUCCAAAAUCACAUCACUUGUCAGGGCUUGAGCCAGGUCCAGAACUCCAAAGCUCCUACCUGCAAACCCAGAAAACCAAACUACCUGUGCCAUGGUCACCUUGAUGGGACAUGCAGCACUGUGCCUGCAUUAUGUCAUGCAACUAGGCACCACAGGAGCUGGGGAGAUUUGCAGACCUACAGCAGGUCAAGAAAAAAUAAGACAUACAUUUGUAAGCCGGAUUCGUGCUGCCAAGGGAAAGGUAUAUUCAUCACCCGGACAGUGAAAGAAAUCAAACCAGGGGAGGAUAUGAUCUGUCAGCUGUAUAUUUCAAAGCCCUUUAUCAUUGAUGGGUUUAAGUUUGACCUACGGAUUUAUGUACUGGUGACAUCCUGUGACCCUCUCAGGAUUUUUGUGUACAAUGAAGGACUGGCACGCUUUGCGACAACCUCUUACUCCCGCCCUUGCACAGACAACCUGGAUGAUAUCUGCAUGCACCUGACUAAUUAUUCCAUUAAUAAGCACAGUUCAAAUUUCAGUCGAGACGCACACUCUGGCAGUAAGAGGAAGCUCUCCACCUUCAGUGCAUACAUGGAGGACCACAGCUACAACGUGGAGCAGAUAUGGAGGGAUAUUGAGGACAUCAUCAUCAAGACCCUCAUCUCGGCCCACCCCAUCAUCAGGCAUAACUACCACACCUGCUUCCCCAACCACACACUCAACAGCGCCUGCUUUGAGAUCCUGGGCUUUGACAUUUUGUUGGACCACAAACUCAAACCCUGGCUGCUGGAGGUCAACCACUCUCCAAGCUUCUCCACCGACUCUCGGUUGGAUAAAGAGGUGAAAGAUGGUCUGCUGUAUGACACCUUAGUCCUGAUCAACCUGGAAAGCUGUGACAAGAAGAAAGUCUUGGAGGAGGAGAGACAACGGGGGCAGUUCCUGCAGCAGUGUUGUUCUGGGGAGAUGAGGAUUGAGGAAGCCAAGGGUUUCCGGGCCGUGCAGUUAAAGAAAACUGAAACGUAUGAGAAGGAAAACUGUGGAGGGUUCCGACUGAUUUAUCCCAGUCUGAAUUCGGAGAAGUAUGAGAAGUUUUUCCAGGACAACAACUCCCUCUUCCAGAAUACUGUUGCUUCCAGGGCUCGGGAGGAGUAUGCCCGGCAACUGAUCCAGGAGCUGAGACUAAAACGGGAGAAAAAGCCCUUCCAAAUGAAGAAGAAGGUAGAGAUGCAGGGGGAAUCGGCAGGCGAGCAAGUGAGAAAGAAGGGCAUGAGGGGCUGGCAACAGAAACAACAGCAGAAAGACAAGGCCGCCACCCAAGCCUCCAAACAGUACAUCCAGCCAUUGACAUUAGUAUCCUACACACCUGACUUGCUCUUGAGUGUCAGAGAUGAAAGGAAAAAUGAAACAGACAGCAGCCUCAACCAGGAGGCUCCCACGAAGGAGGCCAGCUCUGUUUUCCCCAAGCUGACGUCUGCGAAGCCCUUCAGUUCUGUACCCGAUCUGAGGAAUAUCAAUCUCAGCAGCUCGGAGUUGGAGCCUGGUAAACCCAACUUCAGCAUCAAGGAGGCCAAGUCUGCCUCUGCAGUGAACGUAUUCACUGGCACUGUGCACUUAACCUCCAUAGAAACCACCCCAGAAUCCACCACCCAACUCUCAAUCUCCCCAAAGUCUCCGCUAACCCUGGCUGUGACCGCCAGCUCUGAGUACAGUGGCCCAGAGACGGACAGGGUGGUAUCCUUUAAAUGCAAGAAGCAGCAGACCCCUCCACACUUAACCCAGAAGAAAAUGUUAAAAUCUUUUCUGCCCACAAAAUCCAAGAGCUUCUGGGAGAGUCCGAACACAAACUGGACUUUGCUAAAGCGUGACAUGAACAAGCCACAUUUGAUAUCUGAGCUACUCACCAAGCUUCAACUGAGUGGGAAGCUCUCCUUCUUCCCAGCUCACUACAACCCCAAGCUGGGGAUGAAUAACCUGUCACAAAACCCCUCCCUGCCUGGGGAGUGCCACUCCCGCAGUGACAGCUCUGGCGAGAAGAGGCAGCUGGAUGUGUCCUCCCUCCUCUUGCAGAGUCCUCAGAGCUAUAAUGUUACUCUGAGGGACCUGCUGGUGAUUGCCACUCCAGCCCGACUGGAUCCAAGGCCUUGUAGAAGCCACACAAGUGCUAUGAGGGACCCAUGUAUGCAGGAUCAAGAAGCAUACAGCCAUUGCCUGAUCUCUGGCCAAAAAGGAUGUGAGAGGAGCUAGAAUCAGACUGGAUCUCUGCCACUUUUCCCUUCCUACCUCUUAACUUGCAGGAAACAAUGUGUCUCUUCCGACAGUGUCUCCAAUGUUCACAGAAUCAACUGAAGUUUUGUUUGCUCAUCUAGAUAUACUGGUCUUCCAUUAGUUCCUAGUAGCAGCAAUGGGGCCAACAGCCCUGCCUCUGUUCCCUCCCAGUUAGCUUACAGUGCUACAGGACCAUGAUUUCUGGGAUUGGAUUGGUGCUGCCCCAGGACACACUCCAGUUGCCCUACCAGUGGCACUUCUCUGGGUUCUUCACAUGGCACCAUCAUCCAGAAUACUCCCCCAGAUAAAGCAACUUCGGGAGUAGUGUUUCAGAGAAGGACUCAUGAUUUCCAGGAGUCAAAAGCCCUCAGUCCACCAACAGAACUAUGCCAGUUGGUCUUCAUCUCCAAGAUAAAAGAUGAGGUCAGGGAUGGGCAUGGUGCAUAACUCUGAGCCCUGAGUGAGAGAACUGAGGCAGCUGCAACUUCACAGGGUCAAGGCCCGACCUCCGCCCAUCCCCACCAGCCCAAAGACUUGCCACCUCAGUGCCCGAGCAUCCUCUGGUGACCUCCCUCACCAGCCCAACUUAAUCUCACCAGUGAAAACAGAGGUGAGGCGAGAGUACCCAGCCUGAAGAUGCUUCUUCUAUCAACCUGCAGAAAUGUUACACUUUCCCUUCAGGCAUCCAUUAAUAAAAGAAAUUGCCAUGCUU